GACGAACGCUGGCGGCGUGCCUAAUACAUGCAAGUUGAGCGCUGAAGGUUGGUACUUGUACCAACUGGAUGAGCAGCGAACGGGUGAGUAACGCGUGGGGAAUCUGCCUUUGAGCGGGGGACAACAUUUGGAAACGAAUGCUAAUACCGCAUAAAAACUUUAAACACAAGUUUUAAGUUUGAAAGAUGCAAUUGCAUCACUCAAAGAUGAUCCUGCGUUGUAUUAGCUAGUUGGUGAGGUAAAGGCUCACCAAGGCGAUGAUACAUAGCCGACCUGAGAGGGUGAUCGGCCACAUUGGGACUGAGACACGGCCCAAACUCCUACGGGAGGCAGCAGUAGGGAAUCUUCGGCAAUGGACGAAAGUCUGACCGAGCAACGCCACGUGAGUGAAGAAGGUUUUCGGAUCGUAAAACUCUGUUGGUAGAGAAGAACGUUGGUGAGAGUGGAAAGCUCAUCAAGUGACGGUAACUACCCAGAAAGGGACGGCUAACUACGUG
rnacentral:rRNA from 1 species